GCGCACCACUCCCACGGUGCGCCAUUAGUAAAAAAAAUAAUUUUUUUUCAAAACUACUAAUGGCGCACCGUGGGAGUGGUGCGC
rnacentral:pre_miRNA from 1 species